UACGUAGGGGGCUAGCGUUGUCCGGAAUCAUUGGGCGUAAAGCGCACGUAGGCGGCUUGCCAAGUCGGACGUGAAAUCCCUCAGCUCAACUGAGGACGUGCAUCCGAAACUGGCGAGCUUGAGUGCUGAAGAGGAUCGCGGAAUUCCCGGUGUAGAGGUGAAAUUCGUAGAUAUUGGGAGGAACACCAGUGGCGAAGGCGGCUCACUGGACCGGUUCUGACGCUGAGGCGCGAAAGCGUGGGGAGCAAACAGG
rnacentral:rRNA from 1 species